rnacentral:rRNA from 1 species
UACGAAGGGGGGCUAGCGUUGCUCGGAAUCACUGGGCGUAAAGGGUGCGUAGGCGGGUCUUUUAAGUCAGGGGUGAAAUCCUGGAGCUCAACUCCAGAACUGCCUUUGAUACUGAAGAUCUUGAGUUCGGGAGAGGUGAGUGGAACUGCGAGUGUAGAGGUGAAAAUUCGUAGAUAUUCGCAAGAACACCAGUGGCGAAGGCGCUCACUGGCCCGAUACUGACGCUGAGGCACGAAAGCGUGGGGAGCAAACAGG